CAUCUCCUAAGGCUAAAUACUCUCUAGUGACCGAUAGUGAACCAGUACCGUGAGGGAAAGGUGAAAAGCACCCCGGAAGGGGAGUGAAAUAGAACCUGAAACCGUGUGCUUACAAGUAGUCAAAGCCCGUUAAUGGGUGAUGGCGUGCCUUUUGUAGAAUGAACCGGCGAGUUACGAUUUGAUGCAAGGUUAAGCAGUAAAUGUGGAGCCGUAGCGAAAGCGAGUCUGAAUAGGGCGUUUAGUAUUUGGUCGUAGACCCGAAACCAGGUGAUCUACCCUUGGUCAGGUUGAAGUUCAGGUAA
rnacentral:rRNA from 1 species